CAACCCACAGCCAGGCACAUGUUACUAUUUCUGUAGAGCCUCAGGGACCAGCUGUAUCCUUGGAAGUCUGCUAUUUGGCACCAAAUAGAAGCCAACUACAAUCUACUUUCUUUUCUCAGGAGGAAUAUUCUGGAAGGAUCAGAAAGGAAGAACUUUUAUGAGUAGUCUUCUGAGCAACAUUCAGAACAGGGGUUAAAAUCAGGUUUCAGAAAUAGCAAAACUGAUGCUCAGGGGGAAAAGGAGGACCACGUGGAGGACCAAGAGGAGGAGGAGGAGGAGGACUCUGACACUUACUGAAGUCUUCCCGGUGGCAGCUCUAAGAACAUAAAACCACUGAAACCAAAGGACUGAAUACUUUGUUUCAUGCUGACUUUGUUGUCAUCAGUGUGUUUGGAUGAUCAUCAAUUUUGCAGAGCUUAACCCUUCAAGAUAAAAAUCCUUUUGCCUCUCCCCUGCGAGGUUAAAUGGGAAAAUCUGCCAGGACUGAUGAGCAGCCCAUCAACUAUACAUGGAAAUCAUGGGGAAGACCUGGACUUGGAGCCCCUUUGGUUUGGGAGAGGAGCAAAAUCAUGGGCGGACGUCCCCUCCUAUGCUGUUGAUUUUUCUGAAGUUCCCUACAUCAAGACUCAAAUUCAGUGUUGCUUGCCUUAAUGGGUUUGGGGCUUUGGUGGAAACUGCUCUGUGUUCUAAAUAUCUCGUGUCACCCCCUGGCAAUAUUUCUAUCCAUAAAAAAAUCAUGUUAAACUGAAUUUAAAAGCAAACUUGAGUGUGAGGGGCGAUGACUGUAGAACAUUUUGGAAAUACUUGUGCUUUGCUAAUCAGAGCAUAGUGUACAGUCUUUUAAAAGGGGGAAGUGACUAAGUAAUGUGUAUCAAAGACUUUUAAAAUGUUCAUAGCCUUAAUCUAUUAAUUCCAUGAGAUCCAAAGAAAACAGUCAGAAAUAUAUGUGUAGGACAACUUCCAUGCAAAGGCAUUUAGCUGCAUUGUUUAUAAUAGUAAAAACUUGGAAUUGACUUAAAUUUCAAAGUGAAAUGAUUUAAUAAAUUAGGUUAUGAUUCAUGGUAGAGUACUGUG
rnacentral:lncRNA from 1 species